rnacentral:sRNA from 1 species
GUAAUCGCCCCGCAAUACGAAAGACCCCGUACCGGUCGCCGGUACGGGGUCUUUUUGUUCUUUCCUGU